rnacentral:sRNA from 1 species
GGCUAGGCGGGUGUCCUCUUCCUCCCUCCCCAUCCCAUAUGCCUCCCUCCCGAAGCUGUGCGCUUGGUUGAAGAGGACGACCAUCCCUGAUAGAGGAGGACUAGUCUUGGAUCAAGGGUCUAUGAGCAGCUGUGCUCCCCUGCUGGAACCUCCAAACAAGCUCUGAGGUCCUUUCUACCUCUGACACCAUAUGAGGCUUUAACACUGCGUUAAAAUAAUUAGUUAGGAGGUCAUU